AAAUUGAAGAGUUUGAUCAUGGCUCAGAUUGAACGCUGGCGGCAGGCCUAACACAUGCAAGUCGAACGGUAACAGGAAGCAGCUUGCUGCUUUGCUGACGAGUGGCGGACGGGUGAGUAAUGUCUGGGAAACUGCCUGAUGGAGGGGGAUAACUACUGGAAACGGUAGCUAAUACCGCAUAACGUCGCAAGACCAAAGAGGGGGACCUUCGGGCCUCUUGCCAUCGGAUGUGCCCAGAUGGGAUUAGCUUGUUGGUGGGGUAACGGCUCACCAAGGCGACGAUCCCUAGCUGGUCUGAGAGGAUGACCAGCCACACUGGAACUGAGACACGGUCCAGACUCCUACGGGAGGCAGCAGUGGGGAAUAUUGCACAAUGGGCGCAAGCCUGAUGCAGCCAUGCCGCGUGUAUGAAGAAGGCCUUCGGGUUGUAAAGUACUUUCAGCGGGGAGGAAGGGAGUAAAGU
rnacentral:rRNA from 1 species